CCAUUUAAAGCUUCCCAACAGUCUUCAAAGGCAACCCCACGUAGAGCGCGUUGCAGUUAUCUAUUCGGGAUGUAAUAAGAGCGUGGACCACCGUAGCCAAGUCAGACUUCCCAAGGUACGGGCGCAACUGGCGCACAAGUUUUAACUGUGCAAAUGCUCCCCUGGUCGCCACCAAAACUUGGGGUUCCAAGCUCAGCGAUAAAUCCAGGAUCACACCCAAGUUGUGAACCUGCGUUUUCAGGAGGAGUGUAACCCCGUCCAACAUAGGCCAUGACCCUAUGCCCUGUUUGGACUGUCAACUAACCAGAAGUACCUCUGUCUUGUCUGGAUUCAAUUUCAAUUUAUUACCAGCUGUUCCUACUGGCUGUUAGGAAUUGUGGGAGUUGAAGUCCAAAACACCAGGAGGGCUGAAGUUUGCCCAUGACUGGUAUAUACUGUAUUGCUUCCAUUCUAAAAUGCCUUUGAUUGUGAGAUGUACAUUAAUUUCCUCACCAACAGACAACUAUUUUUAUGUAUGUGUGUCUGUGUUGUACUUUCCAUUUUAAAAUACAUCUCCAUUUCUAAGCCAAAAGCCGGUGUUGUCCAUAGACAUCCCCUAGGUCAUGUGAUGAGCAUGACUGCAUGAAGCACCAUUACCUUCCUGCUGAAGCGGUACCUAUUGAUCUACACACAUUUACAUGUUUUCGAACUGCUAGGUUGGCACAAGCUGGGCCAACUGCAGGAGCCCACCCCGCUCCCCGGAUUCAAACUGCCAACCUUUCGGUCAGCAAGUUCAGCAGCUCAGUGAUUUAAUCCGCUGUGCAACCAGGAGGCCCAUGAAAGGCUCUCAGCUUAUAAGUCAUGAAUUUGACAGUUGCCUGUCCUCACAUUUACCAUCUAAAUAAGGCCAAUGCACAAGAAGAAGGGCAUGGAAGGUGAGGAGAGUGCACAGAUGCUGAUCUGUUGGGGGCAUGAAGUCCAUCAGAUGUUGGUUCAUCUUCUCCCUUUGAAACCAGAGCAAUGGAAGUUAGAACAAGGGUUUUCACCAACUCCUGAAGACCAGGCAGUGUGGCUCUUUUUCUGCAGCAAAGGCCUUCGUUGGAAGAAGAAAAAUGAAUCAGAAGUACAAAGAAUGAUAUCAAGGGUAAGUUUCAGCUAAAGUUCAGUAAGUUUAUCUCUCACUGAUUCUAAUAAGGAAUAAUGAGCAUACUUACCAAGUUUGCAGGUGACACCAAAUUAGGAGGAGCAGCUAAUAUCCCAGAGGACAGGAUAAGAAUUCAAAAUGACUUUAACAGAUUGUGUCAAAACUAACAAAAUGAUUUUCAACGAGGAGAAAUGAAUCUCAACUGUCUUUAACCUUUAAUGAGAACCAAUAAUGACUGAGUGUGUUGUGAGUCAGCAUUCUGACACCAUACCUACUAUUAGUAGUAGGAGAAGAAGAAGGAGUGAUGCAGAAACAGAGGAGAAUCAGCGCCAGCUGAAACGAAUUCGUGACAUCUUUCUGGCUCCCGGUGAUGAAGAAGACUUUGCAGGAUUCAGGCCAGAGGAGGCUAUGGAAGCAGAUUACAGGGGAGUGAAGAGAGUGGCUAGUGAUUCUGGCAGUGAGAGUGACACUAUGUCUAAGAGGCUUAGAGACACAGCAGAUAACUCCAGUGAUAGUGAGGAUGAGUUGGAGGAGGCUGUAGACUGGACUCUGGUUCAGAACAUUAGAGACAUUUGCAAUCAAGCAACAUCAAGUGAUGAUUUUGAAGGUUUUAGGGAUAAUGGGAAUGAGAGUACUGAUUGGCAGGAUCAGGCACUAGAGCAAAGGUGGCAGGCUUGGCGUGGUGUAGAUGCUUCAGCUGCGGGAGCAGAAUCAGAUGCAAGCAAUGAAUCUCAUUCUUCUGAUAGUGAAUAAAAUGAGCACUCUGGGACCUAUUCCUUUGCAGACGACAAAGUGUUGUUUCGUGUUCUCUGCCUAAUCUUGUUUUGGAUUCCCAGUAUCCUGUUUUCCCUGCCGUGCCUCGGACCUUGGAACCUUCGCUUGUGAGUGUACAUCUGGCUUCUUGACCCUUGGAACUGACUGACUACACGUUUGCCUACCGGAUUUUGCUCCAUGCCUUGCAACCCUUAAAGACUGUUUGUUUUGUAUUCUGCUCCUAGUUCAUCAUAUCUCCUGUUAUUUCUUGGCUGCAAUUCAAGCCUGUUUAUCUAGCGUUUUGUGUUCCUGUUUGAAAACAUCCUUUGAACUGUUUGCACUGACUUUUAAAGUGCCUUAUUAAGUUUGUUUUGCAUUAAAAUACUACUAUUUUGCACCUCAA